rnacentral:rRNA from 1 species
UACGAAGGGGGCUAGCGUUGCUCAGAAUCACUGGGCGUAAAGCGCACGUAGGCGGCUUGUUAAGUCAGGGGUGAAAUCCUGGAGCUCAACUCCAGAACUGCCUUUGAUACUGGCGAGCUUGAGUUCGGGAGAGGUGAGUGGAACUGCGAGUGUAGAGGUGAAAUUCGUAGAUAUUCGCAAGAACACCAGUGGCGAAGGCGGCUCACUGGCCCGAUACUGACGCUGAGGUGCGAAAGCGUGGGGAGCAAACAGG